rnacentral:rRNA from 1 species
GAUGAACGCUGGCGGCGUGCCUAAUACAUGCAAGUCGAGCAACGGACGAGAAGCUUUCUUCUCUGGUGUUAGCGGCGGGCGGGUUAGUAACACGUGGGUAACCUACCUAUAAGACUGGGGUAACUUCGGGAAACCGGAGCUAAUACCGGAUAAUAUUUUGAACCGCAUGGUUCAAAAGUUAAAGACGGUCUUGCUGUCACUUAUAGAUGGAUCCGCGCUGCAUUAGCUAGUUGGUAAGGUAACGGCUUACCAAGGCAACGAUGCAUAGCCGACCUGAGAGGGUGAUCGGCCACACUGGAACUGAGACACGGUCCAGACUCCUACGGGAGGCAGCAGUAGGGAAUCUUCCGCAAUGGGCGAAAGCCUGACGGAGCAACGCCGCGUGAGUGAUGAAGGUCUUCGGAUCGUAAAACUCUGUUAUUAGGGAAGAACAUAUGUGUAAGUAACUGUGCACAUCUUGACGGUACCUAAUCAGAAAGCCACGGCUAACUACGUG